rnacentral:sRNA from 1 species
AUUAUUAAUAUGUUGUUUUAAUAGGGGUUACAACUUCAGUUUUUUAACAAUUGUCUCAUGGAUUCGUGGUAUAGCGUUACUUAAUAACAAUUAUAAGCUGUAAAAUAUAAAUAUUUUAUAAAAAUAAAAUUUGCAAAUUUUAAUAUAUAUUACUUUUAAAAAAUAAAUCGUCCCGCGGUAUACCGCGGGUUAAAAUCUAGUUUGUGUAAUAAACUAUAAGACAAAAUAAAAUAAAAAUGCUAAAAUGCCCUUUAUAUUGAGAGAUAAGAGAAAAAUUGAUGGGACCACUUUUCUUUAAAACAUUUU